AUGUUUCUCUUGCUAAAAAAAGAUAUUCUUUAGAAAUAAAAAUUCGCAUAUUUGACAAAUUGUCUUUUUGCUGUGCAAUAUAAAAUAAAAAAUUCAGAUAUAAAAUUUAAGCGCGAUCUCCCCGUGUUCGAAAAUCGCAUAAAUCGCGUCGGUCAACAUCGACGACGUUACAAAUGACAAAUCAGGGAUAACGUAAAACAUUUCAUAUGCAUGUACCGACAAUUGUGCCAUGUGCCUCGGCAAUCAUACAAUUGUUGAAUAUUCAAUUAUAUAAUCGAACUACCGGCGUGUAGUGCCAUAGCACUACGCACGUACGUCGUAUGUCUGCAAAAUUUACAGUUUCUCGUUGCAUUAUUGUAAUCUUUGAACGAUAAUAGGAAACUGUGCACGCGUCUAAUUAUCCUCGCAAACGAGUAUGCUUAUAUAUUUAAAAAAUAAUUACAUUAUUUCUAAAUUAUGCCGAGACAAUCGGCUCGAGCCAAUUGUCAAUCGCGGUUACUUACGGUCCACGUGUCGACGCUUAAAGAAUGAUGAACUAUCCAUAUUUUCGCUCGAGAUAUUAAAUAUGUGUGUUGAUAUCAUUAAAUUUAUUUUAUCUGAAUUUUUAUGUUUUAUCAUAUAAUAUAUACACAUCUUAAUAUUGACGGAUUGUUUCAGGUUUAACAACAGUGCCUAUGGCUUAAUCUGCGCGUCUGAUAUCAGAUAGUGCGUCCAAAAUUUUCCGCUUAUGGACCUCAAAUCAAUGUUUCAAGUGUCCAAUUAUGAAAGUACAUUUCCUUUAAGAUUAAAAGAAAUUGUACGUACCAGUGAGCCAACGGCAGAAUAUUUGGGAUUUUCUGGAAAUAGGUAGAUAUCGAAGAGCAUCCAAACUCCUCUCCAAACGAAAACAACCAAUGUGCCAACAACACCGACACUAAAGGCACAAUCCAAAAAUAUAUAUAUCGAGCUUUCGAAGAGUGUCUUUGGAGUAUACUCUUAGACGAAAGUGGAAGAAAAGGAAUGCUAUAUUUGGAGCCAUAAAAAAGUGCGAUUGUUACAUCGGACUGCGAUCCUACAACUUGUGGUGCAUUCCGAGAGGGAAGAAGAAAGAGUGGAUCGGUACUUACAUUGACGCGAAACAUAGUUUGCACUUCGAAGUAACCCUGACACGAGUCGAGAACGAGCGAGAACGGCGGCGCGGAGACGUUGCGGAUCGCGCGCAUGAUGCCGAGCGCGAGGAGACUGAUGACGACCGUGGCAACAGCUGUACCGGGCGUCUGUUCCGUGUAGAUGUCCAGAGCCUUCCAGGGGCCGCGCCAGGCGUUCACGCAACACAGACCGAACACGCCGGUGUAGAGCCGGGAGCCGAGAUAAUAGGACAGCCGAUGUUUGUCCGGAUGGAGGAUGUCGUCCAGGCUGUGUUGCAGGACGUUGAAGACGAAGAGGCCGAUGAAGCCCAUCGCAAUCGACGCGAAGCUGCUGAACACCGGCUCAUUUGGAUAGACAUAGAAAUCGCUGAGCUCCCAGGUACCUCGCCAGUAACCGACCACCGCGGGCGCGACCAUGAACGCGGAGAAUAUCGUGUCCAGGAUCGUCAGGAUGGCGUAGUGCAGACGAUUCGAGGAUCUCCUGUCUAGCCCCCCAGUCAUCCCGGCGCUAGCCGCGCGCAACUCGACCAUUCUUAUCCAAUCCGGGUCGAAUUUAGUAGUCGCGCCGCUGGUCAUUAUGCAUGGUUUGCGCCUUCAGGAUUACUGACUAUCAUAUAAAAAGAGAAAGAGGAAAGAAGAAAAAAAAGGUGAUCAGUUCAAAAGAACGAGGGGCAACGUGUCCAAAUACGAUGACGUUCGACGUUUUCUUCCUGACAUUCUUCGAUGACGUCUCAACUCUUGAGCUUGAUUCUUCGACUUAUCCGUCAAGAUCAACCUCUGUCAUCGUGACAUGUUCAUGCUCACAUAAUGAUAUGACUCUUGACAGACUGACGAUAUAUUUAUCUAUUACGCUUUCGAGUUCCUAGCUAACUUCUUCAACGUCGGACACGUCGAAAAUGCAGCUUCUUCCAAUGAUGAUGAAAAACACUUUCUCGUGUUUCUCAGAUUGAAUUAUGUAAAUAUAAUCACACAAAAUAUUUUGUAUUUCAACGCACACAAGGGACUCCUCGAGACAACAUCAACAUCGACGCGAAGGAGCCGCGUUAACCGGAUGCAACCCUCGUCCGUGCGCUCGAAAAUCAAAUGGAUCCUGGAGUCGGCAGCAGCGGGGUGAGUACUGACUUGUCUUCGGUACAACUGCUAUCUUUUAUCAACCGCGCUUAGCCGCUAAACGCGCGGACCAACACUAUCGCAUUAUCGCGAACAGCAUCGUCGCUCGCGCGGCGGACCACCGGCCCAGAGUACCGCUCUCCUUUGCUCCCUCGUUCUCUCGUUCCCUCCUCCUCCCCCUCUUAUGCGUUAUAAUCGCCUCUCAUCGCAGUGCUAUCACGGUGCUAUCACGGAUCAGAAUGAUCGGUGGCGAUGAGAGCCGCACACUGUUCCAGCUGUUAUAAUACGGUUCGAAGAUUCGGUGGCGCACGGUAUCUUCCAAGGACUCACAGCGAGAGCUUCCGCUUGUCACGAGUGACAAGAUCAUUAAGCAGUUCAAAGAAGAUGCAUCAACGUAAUGCAAAACACGGAACUUGGAAGAUAAGAGACACAUAUAUAUAUUAAUCCUUCGUCAAAGUAUCUAAAAUUCUCCCAGUGAUUUAUUUCCACAAUUCUGAUAUUUAAUUUGGCUUAAAAGUCAAAUAGGCUAAUGGAAAGAUCGUGACAACUGAAGGAUUCCCGUUUAUAACGCAUCGUGUCACAUUUUGUACCUAUAUCUUGUGUAUUACAUCACAGUUAAAUUGGGUAGAUCACCGUGCGAUUGAGAUAGAAAAGAAAAAAUAUAAGAUUGCAUAAAUAUGAAAAGAAGAAAUAUAAAAAUAUACGUAUAUAUAAUAGCGAGUUUUUAGAAAAGGAUUCUUGAAGCUAAUUAUAAGACAGAUUAAUAUGAAAUUAUAUCCGAUUUCUUGCGGUUUAUUUUAUGGAUAAAGAAGAACAAUUCCAUGACAAUAUGAUAUAAUUUAGUCACCUUGGCGCUAUUUUUUUCUGAAUAGUGUUUCCUGUCUCGUGCUCAUUUAGCCAUUGAUGUAUACUCAUUUAGCCAUUGACGCUUUAGCUAAAGUCGUCGCUAAUCGACUCCUUUUUGUGCACCAAUCAAGCUCGGGUUACAACAUCUUCUCACCUUCGUGCAUUAAUUCACCCUGGCGAGCCUCGUCAAGGGCAUAAAAUUCACUGUCACCUUAAAUAAUUGCGCAAGAUAUGAAAUUAAAUGUCACUUCAAAUGUGAACACGUUGCACUUCAUAAUUUUGAUAAUUUUUGGAGCUUUGUUAUUAUUUUAUUUAUUUUAUAAUUUAAUCCUUGCCUCUCGGCUUUGAAUGGCUUCCGGUUUUACAUUUGUUUAUGUGAGAAUGUUGUAUGUACUAAUGUGUAUAAUAGUGUGUCUUUUACCUAUAAUAGAAUUUCCUCUCAUUCUCUCUAUACAUUUAUAACACCUUUUUAACUUUUUAUCAACUUUUAUAAACAUAAAUGAAGACAAUAUUAUAACUCAAAAUCUGUCGAUACAUUAACUUAACGUAACAUAACAUAAAUUCAUUUUGAAUAUAAACUGUUAUCUUAAUAAUAGUGAUCAUAGUAUAUAUACACAUAUUAUACACAAGUAUACUAGUAUUGAAUAUAAUAACAGUAGUUAUAAUAGACCUAGACAUAAUAGUAUUAUGAAGUAAGACUCAAUAAACUAAAGUCAAGUUAAAUUAAAAUUGAAAUCCAACCUAAAAUAAAACU